GACGAACGCUGGCGGCGUGCUUAACACAUGCAGGUCGAACGGAAAGGCCCUGCUUUUGUGGGGUGCUCGAGUGGCGAACGGGUGAGUAACACGUGAGUAACCUGCCCUUGACUUUGGGAUAACUUCAGGAAACUGGGGCUAAUACCGGAUAGGAGCUCCUGCUGCAUGGUGGGGGUUGGAAAGUUUCGGCGGUUGGGGAUGGACUCGCGGCUUAUCAGCUUGUUGGUGGGGUAGUGGCUUACCAAGGCUUUGACGGGUAGCCGGCCUGAGAGGGUGACCGGCCACAUUGGGACUGAGAUACGACCCAGACUCCUACGGGAGGCAGCAGUGGGGAAUAUUGCACAAUGGGCGGAAGCCUGAUGCAGCAACGCCGCGUGCGGGAUGACGGCCUUCGGGUUGUAAACCGCUUUCGCCUGUGACGAAGCGUGAGUGACGGUAAUGGGUAAAGAAGCACCGGCUAACUACGUG
rnacentral:rRNA from 1 species